GAGGCUGAUUUUGGAUUCGACGGAGUAUCUUAUUAUUUAAAGUGCAUGUCGAGGGGAGGCAGGCCUCGUAAAAAGCCUCAAAAAGAUAAAUACAAAUACUACAUAUAAUGAAUCUGUUGCUUUAGCAGCUUAAAUCAGACUAAUAUCCUGAAGAUUCCCUCUCAUUUUAAUAUCUACUCUUAGAUGUUGAGAUAAAUAAGUAAGAGAGGUCGUAUAAAUAAGAGUGCGCGUUAGUGCUUGCUUUUGGCUUAACGUUAAGUAUGCAAGAGCUAAGUUGGUGUAGUGAUUGGUCUUAAUAUAUCUACACUAAUUAAAUAUAAUUUAAGACCUAAGCAUGUAGGUUACUAAGAAUAAAAAGAAUUCUGGACGCGGGUUCGAGUCCCGCCAGCUCCACCA
rnacentral:tmRNA from 1 species